AGGUGAGUUCGGGAGAUAGGAUAUCUAUCACUACUGAUGCAUUGAUACCAGGAGGUGAUAAUCACAUAUUAUUUAGCAAUGUUCAUAAUUUGCAAAAUUUAAAGGUGUCAAAUCUAAUCGAUGCAAAUCUAAGAACAUGCAAACAGGAGAUGAUUCUUAAUACUGUCUCACCGGUGGACACCAAAAGAAUCCUUUGUAUCCCACUGGCAAGAGAGACCCGUGAGGAUAUGCUAGUGUUGGAUGAGGAAGCCUCAGAGGAAUUCUCUGCCCACAACACUUACAAAUUAUUACAGAAAAAUCUUAUGGGGCCUAAAGCUUACGCUUUACAAACCGAUUCUAGUGAUUUCUACAAAAAGCUAUGGGGCCUAAACCUCAUUGGGAAAAUUAAAGUUACAAUUUGGAGGUUCUCAUGGAACUAUCUACCUACUAUUGUAAUUAUGAAACAUAAGAAUCUAGUAAAUAUAUUUUGUUGUCCUCGAUGCAGAAUGGAGGAAUAAACUAUUGAUCAUCUGUUUCGUAGGUGUCCUGUAUCAGUAGAAGUCUGGUCAAAAUUUAAGCUUAAGCAUAUUCUCAAAAAUUCAGAUUUGAGGUUUGGUCACUGGCUUAACCAGGUUUUUGGUGAGUGCUCAAUUCCUCAACGUCACCUUCUCUGCUAUGUGCUUUGGGCUAUCUACAGAGACAAAAAAUUAGGGUUCAUGAAAGAAGUAUUGUUAUUGGUAAAGUUAUAGCUCAUUUUGUUGUCAACUAUAUUUCUGAAGUUAAUGAAUCCAAGAAGAGAGCACCUAUUAAAACAAAAAAAGUGGUGGAGUGGAAGAAACCUUUGGGAACGAUUAUCAACAUUAAUUUUGACGGAGCUUAUGACAGAUAGAAAAUUAGGUUGGCCUCGGGUAUUGUCGCGAGAAAUGUUGAGGGGGAAGUGUUGAUUUCAAAAUCAGAGACCCACAAGGGGGUCCUUUUAGCUUUCAUCGCCGAAGCCAUCACUUGUCACCCAGCAGUGCAAACGAGGUUAGAAGAAGGAUGGCCGGAGGUAAUAGUUGAGGGGAUGCAUUAUCCAUUAUAAAGAAGAGUAAAUCACAAUAUCCGAAUAAAUCAGAAAUAGGAACUUAUAUUAGAAUAUUAUUUCAGGCAAUCACUUUCAAGCAUGUUCCAAGAUUGGCUAAUGGUUUAGCCCAUGUUUUUUGAAACAGAAACUUUGAAAGAGGGUGAGGAGUUUUACUUGGUGGAGAGUGUUCCUUCAUUUGCGGUGCACCGUUUUGCUGCAGAGAGGGUGGGGGAAGUAGACUAAAGAAUGGGGAAAUGUUUAGCAGGUUUUGGGAAGAAGCUGUACUUUGUUUGUUUUGGGGAAGAUAAAGGAUUUCUCUGAUGAAUGGAACCAUCUGGAAUGAGAUAUGAUUAAUUGUUGUUGGGACGGGUUUGUAGAAUGUUUUUGAUUGGGCAACAGAACGGUGGUGCACAUCUUUUUUUGUACUUUAUUUAUUUAUUUAUUGUUGAUUUUUCUGAGUAGGUUUGGGCUUAAGUUCUGGG
rnacentral:lncRNA from 1 species